rnacentral:rRNA from 1 species
UACAGAGGUCUCAAGCGUUGUUCGGAUUCAUUGGGCGUAAAGGGUGUGUAGGUGGCGCCGUAAGUCGGGUGUGAAAUCUCGGGGCUUAACUCCGAAACUGCAUUCGAUACUGCGGUGCUUGAGGACUGGAGAGGAGACUGGAAUUCAUGGUGUAGCAGUGAAAUGCGUAAAGAUCAUGAGGAAGACCAGUGGCGAAGGCGGGUCUCUGGACAGUUCCUGACACUGAGACACGAAGGCCAGGGGAGCAAACGGG